rnacentral:rRNA from 1 species
GAGUUUGAUCCUGGCUCAGAACAAACGCUGGCGGCGUGCCUAACACAUGCAAGUCGUACGAGAAAGGGUCCUUCGGGAUCUGAGUAAAGUGGCGCACGGGUGAGUAACGCGUGGAUAAUCUGCCCUUCAGUUGGGAACAACUCAUCGAAAGGUGGGCUAAUACCGAAUAACACUGCGAGACUUUGGUCGAGCAGUCAAAGAGAGCCUCUGCUUGCAAGCCCUCGCUGAAGGAUGAGUCCGCGUACCAUUAGCUAGUUGGCAGGGUAAUGGCCUACCAAGGCGACGAUGGUUAGCUGGUCUGAGAGGAUGAUCAGCCACACUGGAACUGAGAUACGGUCCAGACUCCUACGGGAGGCAGCAGUGAGGAAUCUUGCGCAAUGGGGGAAACCCUGACGCAGCAACGCCGCGUGAGUGAGGAAGGCCUUCGGGUCGUAAAGCUCUGUCAGUUGGGAAGAAAUGCCUGAGGGUUAAUACCCUUCAGGCUUGACGGUACCAACAGAGGAAGCACCGGCUAACUCCGUGCCAGCAGCCGCGGUAAUACGGGGGGUGCAAGCGUUGUUCGGAAUUAUUGGGCGUAAAGAGCGUGUAGGCGGCCUGAUGUGUCAGAUGUGAAAGCCCUGGGCUUAACCCAGGAAGUGCAUUUGAAACUGUCAGGCUUGAGUAGGGGAGAGGGAAGUGGAAUUCCUGGUGUAGAGGUGAAAUUCGUAGAUAUCAGGAGGAACACCGGGUGGCGAAAGGCGACUUCCUGGCCCUAUACUGACGCUGAAACGCGAGAGCGUGGGGUAGCAAACAGGGAUUAGAUACCCCUGGUAGUCACGCCGUAAACGAUGUUCACUAGCUGUUG